rnacentral:rRNA from 1 species
GCAUAUCAAUAAGCGGAGGAAAAGAAACCAACAGGGAUUGCCCCUAGUAACGGCGAGUGAAGCGGCAACAGCUCAAAUUUGAAAUCUGGCUCUCGGGCCCGAGUUGUAAUUUGUAGAGGAUACUUUUGAUGCGGUGCCUUCCGAGUUCCCUGGAACGGGACGCCAUAGAGGGUGAGAGCCCCGUCUGGUUGGAUGCCAAAUCUCUGUAAAGUUCCUUCAACGAGUCGAGUAGUUUGGGAAUGCUGCUCUAAAUGGGAGGUAUAUGUCUUCUAAAGCUAAAUACCGGCCAGAGACCGAUAGCGCACAAGUAGAGUGAUCGAAAGAUGAAAAGCACUUUGAAAAGAGAGUUAAAAAGUACGUGAAAUUGUUGAAAGGGAAGCGUUUAUGACCAGACUUGGGCUUGGUUAAUCAUCUGGGGUUCUCCCCAGUGCACUUUUCCAGUCCAGGCCAGCAUCAGUUUUCCCCGGGGGAUAAAGGCGGCGGGAAUGUGGCUCUCUUCGGGGAGUGUUAUAGCCCACCGUGUAAUACCCUGGGGGGGACUGAGGUUCGCGCAUCUGCAAGGAUGCUGGCGUAAUGGUCAUCAACGACCCGUCUUGAAACACGGACCAAGGAGUCGUCUUCGUAUGCGAGUGUUCGGGUGUCAAACCCCUACGCGUAAUGAAAGUGAACGCAGGUGAGAGCUUCGGCGCAUCAUCGACCGAUCCUGAUGUUCUCGGAUGGAUUUGAGUAAGAGCAUACGGGGCCGGACCCGAAAGAAGGUGAACUAUGCCUGUAUAGGGUGAAGCCAGAGGAAACUCUGGUGGAGGCUCGCAGCGGUUCUGACGUGCAAAUCGAUCGUCAAAUAUGGGCAUGGGGGCGAAAGACUAAUCGAACCUUCUAGUAGCUGGUUUCCGCCGA